rnacentral:pre_miRNA from 1 species
UCUUAUGGAUGAGUGAAGAAAGUGGUCUCCUGAGAUGGAAUCUACUUUUGGUGAAGAUGCUGUGAA